CCGUUCGUUUCAGCGCAGAAGAGAAAGGUGGUGAGAUACUGCCAUACCGCCCGAGCCGGACGGCGCCAUCUUCACCCAAAAUCACCGCCAAGCAGCUCGAAAACACUUGGAGAACAGCCACACCGCCGCCGAACGGCUCUUCUCCUCCAGCAGCUCCAAGAGAAAAACACCUCCUGCUGCUGCUGCUGCUGCUGCUGCUACUGCUGCUGCUCCUUCACACCAUCGAGCGGCAGACAAGGGAGUCCCUUCGGCAGCAAGUUACCCUGAUCCUCUUCUCCACACACACAGCCUGGCUGGAGUGAGAAGAGCUCUACUUCUCUACACACAGCAUAAUCCACAGCAUCUCCUCUUCUCUGCACACAACCUGGUUCAGAAGAUGGUCUCCCAGCCCAGAGCACCACAUGUGUUUCAAGGUAGUGGAACCGG